AAAAUCUCAGACACACUAGGUGUGUGCGUGAGAUCGAUCAGGAUGAGGAGAAAAUGGGUGUAAACCCUAGUUCACAAGCAAGCUUCAAAUUGACAAGGAGAUUAGGCUCAAAUCCGAUGCAUGAACUCGUUUUCUUGACAAUCUAUCCCUAGCAAGCAUGUGGAGUCAUGUCAAGACGGACUCAAGCAUGAAAGGCUAACGGGUCAAGAGGAGGCAAGGAAUCGGAUACGAACCCGGAUGCACAAGGUAGUACGAGUCAUGAGGAUCAUCAAGGAACAGAGAUCGAGGA